GCGAACUUGGCGGAAUGGUAGACGCAGGAGACUUAAAAUCUCCAACCUUCAAUGGUGUGCGGGUUCGAGUCCCGCAGUUCGCACCA
rnacentral:tRNA from 1 species